rnacentral:rRNA from 1 species
AGUGAACGCUGGCGGUAGGCCUAACACAUGCAAGUCGAACGGCAGCACAGGAGAGCUUGCUCUCUGGGUGGCGAGUGGCGGACGGGUGAGGAAUACAUCGGAAUCUACUCUGUCGUGGGGGAUAACGUAGGGAAACUUACGCUAAUACCGCAUACGACCUACGGGUGAAAGCAGGGGAUCUUCGGACCUUGCGCGAUUGAAUGAGCCGAUGUCGGAUUAGCUAGUUGGCGGGGUAAAGGCCCACCAAGGCGACGAUCCGUAGCUGGUCUGAGAGCAUAAUCAGCCACACUGGAACUGAGACACGGUCCAGACUCCUACGGGAGGCAGCAGUGGGGAAUAUUGGACAAUGGGCGCAAGCCUGAUCCAGCCAUACCGCGUGGGUGAAGAAGGCCUUCGGGUUGUAAAGCCCUUUUGUUGGGAAAGAAAUCCAACUGGCUAAUACCCGGUUGGGAUGACGGUACCCAAAGAAUAAGCACCGGCUAACUUCGUGCAAGCCGCCGCCGUAA